AAGGCCUUGAAAACAUUGAAGUGGCUCGAUUUAUGCUGGAGCAUCCUCGUCGUGUGUUGGACAGAGGAAGCCAUAUCACAGGUCGAAGUGUGCACAACCAGCGCAUUGAGAGGCUGUGGCGUGAUGUCUGCUACACAGUUACCAGCAAUUAUUAUGCUGCCUUGCAGUACUUGCAGGCAAUACAGGCACUUGACCCAGAUGAUGAACUUCACUACGUGAUGAUUCCAAGACUGAACAUGCACCUUGAUAUGUGGGACCGACGUCCUCUAUCCUCGGAGCACAUGAAAUCCCCACAGCAGCUAUGGAUUCAAGGGCUACUGUCAAACUACAGCAGCGGAAAUCCCACUUCCUGUGAGACUUGGAACUCUGAUAUGAUGGAUUUUGAUAACUAUGGAAGGACCUGGAGCCUGCCGUGAAUCAGAGCCCCCAGUUUCAUUGCAGGACACACUGGUUCCUCUCCUUCCAGUCAACAUUGACCCUUUGAGGACGAGCAGCU